rnacentral:tRNA from 2 species
GGGGCUUUAGCUCAGCUGGGAGAGCGCCUGCUUUGCACGCAGGAGGUCAGGGGUUCGAUCCCCCUAAGCUCCACCA